rnacentral:rRNA from 1 species
AGAGCGAACGCUGGCGGCAGGCCUAAAACAUGCAAGUCGAACGAGCCCUUCGGGGUUAGUGGCGGACGGGUGAGUAACACGUGGGAACGUGCCUUUUGGUUCGGAACAACUCAGGGAAACUUGAGCUAAUACCGAAUGUGCCCUUCGGGGGAAAGAUUUAUCGCCAUUAGAGCGGCCCGCGUCUGAUUAGCUAGUUGGUGAGGUAAAGGCUCACCAAGGCUUCGAUCAGUAGCUGGUCUGAGAGGAUGAUCAGCCACACUGGGACUGAGACACGGCCCAGACUCCUACGGGAGGCAGCAGUUAGGAAUCUUGCGCAAUGGGCGAAAAGCCUGACGCAGCCAUGCCGCGUGAAUGAUGAAGGUCUUAGGAUUGUAAAAUUCUUUCAGCGGGGACAUAAUGACGGUACCCGCAGAAGAAGCUCCGGCUAACUUCGCGCCAGCAGCCGC